rnacentral:rRNA from 1 species
UACGUAGGGUGCAAGCGUUGUCCGGAAUUAUUGGGCGUAAAGAGCUCGUAGGCGGUUCGUCGCGUCGGCUGUGAAAACCUGAGGCUCAACCUCAGGCCUGCAGUCGAUACGGGCGGACUUGAGUACUGCAGGGGAGACUGGAAGUUCCUGGUGUAGCGGUGAAAUGCGCAGAUAAUCAGGAGGAACACCGGUGGCGAAGGCGGGUCUCUGGGCAGUAACUGACGCUGAGGAGCGAAAGCGUGGGGAGCGAACGG